CACCUUCCUGGGCUCCAGGACACCAGGACAUCUUGGCUGGGGGCUGCCCCAUGGAGCCAGUGACCUUGCAGCUGUCCCCGGAGACCUCCCUGCACCAGGCACACAACCUCUUCGAGCU